UACGUAGGGGGCAAGCGUUGUCCGGAAUCAUUGGGCGUAAAGCGCGCGUAGGCGGCCCGGUAAGUCCGCUCUGAAAGUCCAGGGCUCAACCCUGGAAAGCGGGUGGAUACUGCCGGGCUAGAAUCCGGAAGAGGCGAGUGGAAUUCCUGGUGUAGCGGUGGAAUGCGCAGAUAUCAGGAGGAACACCAAUAGCGAAGGCAGCUCGCUGGGACGGUAUUGACGCUAAGGCGCGAAGGCGUGGGGAGCAAACAGG
rnacentral:rRNA from 1 species